CGCAGGCGGUGUAUAAAGUCUGAUGUGAAAGUCCACGGCUCAACCGUGGGAUUGCAUUGGAAACUGAUACACUUGAGGAUAGAAGAGGGUAGUGGAAUUCCAUGUGUAGUGGUGAAAUACGUAGAUAUAUGGAGGAACACCAGUGGCGAAGGCGGCUAUCUGGUCUAUCACUGACGCUGAGGGACUCGAAAGCGAUGGGGAGCAAACA
rnacentral:rRNA from 1 species